GUCCUUUAGAUAUUAAUUUAAGGUCUAACCUGCCCACUGAAUUAUUUUAAAUGGCCGCAGUAAUUUGACUGUGCAAAGGUAGCAUAAUCAUUAGUUUUUUAAUUAAAAGCUUGUAUGAAAGGUUGGACGAAGUAAAAUCUGUCUCUAAUUAAAUUAAUUUAGAAUUUAACUUUUAAGUUAAAAGGCUUAAAUUUAACUAAAAGACGAGAAGACCCUAUAGAUCUUUAUAUUUUAAUUAUUAAAUUUAAUUAGGAAUUUUUAAAAUUUUAUUAAUUUAGGUAUUUUAUUGGGGUAAUAUAAAGAUUAAAAUAAUUCUUUUUUUUUAUUAACAUUAAUUUAUGGUUUUUAUGAUCCAAUUAUAUUGAUUUUAAGAUUAAGUUACCUUAGGGAUAACAGCGUAAUUUUUUUAGAGAGUUCUUAUCGAUAAAAAAGUUUGCGACCUCGAUGUUGGAUUAAAGAUUAUUUUAGGUGCAGAAGUUUAAAAAUUUUGGUCUGUUCGACCAUUAAAUCUUUACAUGAUCUGAGUUCAGACCGGUGUAAGCCAGGUCGGUUUCUAUCUUUAGUAAAUUAAAAUAUUUUAGUACGAAAGGACCAAUUAUUUAAUAUAAUAUUUAAAUUUUGAUUAUUAUUAA
rnacentral:rRNA from 1 species